rnacentral:rRNA from 1 species
CAGUCGCCACGGGAAAACCAGCACCUCGAGUGGUCAGGAGGUUUAUUGGGCCUAAAGCAUCCGUAGCCGGUUGCAUAAGUUUUCGGUUAAAUCUAUGCGCUUAACGUAUAGGCCGCCGAAAAUACUGUGCAGCUAGGGAGUGGGAGAGGUACACGGUACUCGAUAGGAAGGGGUAAAAUCCUUUGAUCUAUUGAUGACCACCUGUGGCGAAGGCGGUGUACCAGAACACGUUCGACGGUGAGGGAUGAAAGCUGGGGGAGCAAACCGGAUUAGAUACCCGCGUAGUCCCUGUCUCUUAUAC